rnacentral:rRNA from 1 species
ACGCCUAAUACAUGCAAGUCGAACGAAGUAGCAAUACUUAGUGGCAGACGGGUGAGUAACAUGUGGGUAUCUUCCCUUUGGUGAGGAAUAACACGAGGAAACUUGUGCUAAUACCUCAUAAGUCUUUACGGAGAAAGCUUUAUGCGCCAUUGGAUGAGCCUGCACUUGAUUAGUUUGUUGGUGGGGUAAUGGCCUACCAAGACUUUGAUCAAUAGCUGAUUUGAGAGGAUGAUCAGCCACAUUGGGACUGAGACACGGCCCAAACUCCUACGGGAGGCAGCAGUAGGGAAUCUUGCACAAUGGAGGAAACUCUGAUGCAGCGAUGCCGCGUGAGUGAAGAAGGCCUUUGGGUUGUAAAGCUCUUUCGUCGGGGAAGAAAAUGACUGUACCCGAAUAAGAAGGUCCGGCUAACUUCGUGCCAGCAGCCGCGGUAAUACGAAGGGACCUAGCGUAGUUCGGAAUUACUGGGCUUAAAGAGUUCGUAGGUGGUUAAAAAAGUUGGUGGUGAAAUCCCAGAGCUUAACUCUGGAACUGCCAUCAAAACUUUUUAGCUAGAGUAUGAUAGAGGAAAGCAGAAUUUCUAGUGUAGAGGUGAAAUUCGUAGAUAUUAGAAAGAAUACCGAUUGCGAAGGCAGCUUUCUGGAUCAUUACUGACACUGAGGAACGAAAGCAUGGGUAGCGAAGAGGAUUAGAUACCCUCGUAGUCCAUGCCGUAAACGAUGUGUGUUAGACGUUGGAAAUUUAUUUUCAGUGUCGCAGCGAAAGCAAUAAACACACCGCCUGGGGAGUACG